CUUCUGGGGCUCCAGCCUUGAAUGUUUUCUCAAAAGCCCAGAAUCUUUUAGGGUUUUAAAAUGACUUUG